CCCCCCCCCCCCCCCCCCCCCCCCCCCCCCCCCCCCCCCCCCCCCCCCCCCCCCCCCCCCCCCCCCCCCCCCCCCCCCCCCCGCAGCCCGCAGCCCAGCCUCGCCGAGUCGCUGGCGGGCACUGACCAGGAGCGGGACCCGCGCUCUCCCACGCCCGGUAUCUCCCGCACGCCCAUGCGAGCCGUGUCGAGUGGUGAGUGAGGCCGCCGUGGCUGGGCGGGUUGAGGGGCGGCCUGACUCGGAGGCUCACCCCGUCCCGUCCGUCCCCGGCAGACAGCGUGGACCGCCUGGUGAAGCAAGCCCAUACGACCCAAGCCCAACAACAAAUUCAUGGCGACACCUGGAGGAACUGGCCGCUCUCCCCUCAGCAUUCUACGAGAUGAUAAUUCUCCCAGUGCUCCUGCCCCUCGCCAGGGCAAGAGGCACGUGUUGGGAGAGAACCUUGGAGAGAAGAAGGACGUGGAUCUGAGCAGGAGCCUUAAAUCUGGGAACUGUGCUUGGAGUGACUUGAACAAAGAGAACCAACAGUGUCCUUUUGUGGAGAACUAAACAUUUUUCAGGAUCUUCCUAUAAUUUGCUCCUAUGUUUUCAGAAUUUUCUGGUGGGGAGAAAUCCUACAAUAGACUGAAACCCCAAAGCAGUGGUCACAUUUUUCACCUAUCCCUACUGGGGAAAGAUCUCUCCCUCCUCUUCCUAGUUUGUCAUGUUUUAUGUCCAGCACAGACUUUGUGUCUUUUAUUGUAUAUCAUCUGUAUUGAUUUUUCCAUAGAGUUUUUAUCUCUAGUAAAUAAAUUUGUGUUCAACCUUUGCUGACUGUAUGUCCUGAUAGUGUGCUUGCCCAGCACAAUAUUUUCUUUGGGACAAGGGUUCAGGAACAAAUAGUUCAGCCUUCUAUUAGCCUUAAAACUGCCUUGUCCCCUGCCUGGAGCAUGCUGAAGGGUAUGGCCUUGAAUCCAUGUAGGACAGUGUGAGCUGGGGAGCUGCAGCUCCCAGCAGGAAACUGAUGUGUAUCCAGUGUCACCCCUGGAGCAGCACUGCUCCUAAGGACAGUGUGAGCUGGGGAGCUGCAGCUCCCUGCAGGAAACUGAUGUAUAUCCAGUGUCACCCCUGGAGCUGCACUGCUCCUGCACUGACCUGAAACUGAGGGUGAGAUCCAAAAUAACGUGCAAUAGUAUUGUCCAUUAAUAUUGACGUUCUGUGGAUAAGUUACUAGACCUUGUUGAGCUCUACCUCUCCCUAGCAGAGCCUUGGGAUCCC
rnacentral:lncRNA from 1 species